GGAUUAGAUACCCUGGUAGUCCACGCCGUAAACGUUGGGUGCUCGCCGUUGCGGGUAUUGACCCCUGCAGUGGCCAAGCUAACGCUAUAAGCACCCCGCCUGGGAAGUACGGUCGCAAGACUAAAACUCAAAGAAAUUGACGGGACCCCGCACAAGCGGCGGAGCAUGUGGUUUAAUUCGAAGAUACGCGCAGAACCUUACCAACACUCGACAUGUUCGUCGCGAGACCAAGAGAUUGGUUUCUUCAUUCAGUUGGACGAGACACAGGUGCUGCAUGGCUGUCGUCAGCUCGUGCCG
rnacentral:rRNA from 1 species